rfam:Triticum aestivum genome assembly, contig: Triticum_aestivum_CS42_TGACv1_scaffold_343485_4DL
CAUGUACUCCCUCCGUUCGGAAUUACUUGUCAUAAAAAUGGAUGUAUCUACAACUAUAAUACAUCUAGGUACAUUCAUUUCUUGGACGAGUAAUUCCGAACGGAGGGAGUAUGUG